GUAUUCACUCUCUCUGAGUCUCCCUCUUUCUGACCUUGAUUUCACUCUCUCUCUUUCUCUCUCUUCUCUUCAAACUCCUUCGUAGAACCGCAGCUGAACCCCUUUGUAUUUGCAGAUCGAUUCAUGUAUUCGUAGAUCGAUUAAAGUAUUAUUCACUCUCAGUCUUGCUCUCUCUCCCUCUAAACCCUUGAUUUCACUCUCUCUCGCUUCAAACCCCUUCGUUUCAGAGACAACCCUUCAUAUUUGUAGAAUCGUAGCUGAACCCCUUCGUGUUUGCAGAUCGAUUCAAGUAUUCAUAGAUCGAUUCAAGCCUCUUCUCUAGUUCGUGUUCGCGUUCGCAGCUCUUUCUUCAUACUUGUGGGGCACUUUCUGGAGGAGACAUGUGUAAACCCUACUUUCAUUAUUAACCAUCCAGAGAUUAUGAGUCCAUUGGCAAAGUGGCAUAGGACAAAACCAAGCUUGACUGAACGUUUUGAAUUAUUUGUUAACAAGCGUGAAGUUUGCAAUGCAUACACGGAGUUGAAUGAUCCUGUGGUACAACGCCAACGGUUUGCUGACCAACUCAAGGACCAACAAUCAGGUGACGAUGAUGCAAUGGCUUUGGAUGAAACAUUUUGCACGGCUCUCGAGUAUGGUUUGCCCCCAACUGGUGGUUGGGGACUGGGUAUUGACCGACUAACAAUGAUGAUGACAGAUUGGCAGAACAUCAAGUUCUACUCUUUCCGGCCAUGAAACCUCAGGAUGAACCUUCUGCUAAAGAACACAUCCAAACAGCUUCUGGCUUGGGUCCAGUAUAGGUUUUCAAUCUGCCAAUAUGCAUGCCAAUCUGCCUACAGAAGGUAUUUGGAGUUUACUAUGCAGAGUUGGAUCCAAUUUGGCGCUAUCUUAUGGAGGUUUCUUGGAUUUAUUUGAUGUCUGUAGUUUGCAAAUGAUUAUGGGUAUUCAAAAUUUAUUAUGUAGAAAUGAAUCCAAUUUAAUCAUCUUAAAGAAGUUUCUCGUCAUUAAAAAGAAUAUAUAUAUAUAUAUAUAUAACGAAAUAUCAAUGUAGAGAAGGGCAAUAGUGUACAAGAAACUAUGAUAGGGAACCUGCAGGUAGAUGCUGCUAGUAUCAAACAGUGUGACAAUGCUCUAAAGAAAUUAAAAAGCAGCAAGACCAAAGGGAGUCUGAGAUCCUUGUCUGCACAUUGUUUGGAGUGCAAUGUGGUCAGCCUUUGAUGUGUACAGUUGGCUUGGAUUUGAUGCACCUUGAUUUCUUGGGAAACAUGUAGGUUUGGAAUUUAAGUCUAUUUUAUAGUCACUCUCUUCACAUGGUAAAAUCGGAUUAGAGAAGUGUUGUCACUCUAACCUAAUGGAUCUUUUUAUUUACCUCUACUAAAUUGAUGACCAGGUGGAACUUCAAUUCCAUGGCAGUGCUGGUGUAAACGAGAAGGAUGCAAUAUUCAAUUAUUGAAGGAAAUAUCUUCCUAUACAGCAGUUCUCUAGAUUAGUGGGAUGGAGCAAACCAACUUCUUAUUUCAGCAAGAUUCAUAGCUUGUCCCUGGUGGUUCUCCUAAUCCAGAAUGUGUGGUGGUAUGCAAGAUUGCUUUUGUUAGCGCCGUCAGAUUGGCAGAUCUAAAGAAGAAUGCUGAUGGACAAGAAAGUCUGGUGUUUGCUACUUUAGCUGGUGACCUGGUAGUCCGAGGACUAAUAUUACUAUCAGUUGUUAUGACAUUUUUUAAUUUUUUAAUUUUUUUUGUUGGUUCUUGUAUUUGAAAUAGAGAGUUUAUUUGCAUUGAUGACUUAUUCUUAACUCAGUAACUCUCCAAUGACCAUAUGAAGAUUUCUAGGGUGCGAGAAAUAUGAAAUAUUUUUGUGUAACAUACACCGUUUGAUUUAUGUGAAUGUUUUGUUU